rnacentral:rRNA from 1 species
UGUGCCAGCAGCCGCCCAUCAACUCAAAGAAAUUGACGGGGGUGCCAGCAGCCGCGGUAAUACGUAGGGUGCAAGCGUUAGUCGGAAUUACUGGGCGUAAAGCGUGCGCAGGCGGCUCGUUAAGACAUAUGUGAAAUCCCCGGGCUCAACCUGGGAACUGCAUUCGUGACUGGCAAGCUAGAGUAUGGCAGAGGGGGGUGGAAUUCCACGUGUAGCAGUGAAAUGCGUAGAGAUGUGGAGGAACACCGAUGGCGAAGGCAGCCCCCUGGGCCAAUACUGACGCUCAUGCACGAAAGCGUGGGGAGCAAACAGGAUUAGAUACCCUGGUAGUCCACGCCCUAAACGAUGUCAACUAGUUGUUGGGGAUUCAUUUCCUUAGUAACGAAGCUAACGCGUGAAGUUGACCGCCUGGGGAGUACGGUCGCAAGAUUAAAACUCAAAUUUAUUGACGGG